UAGGUGUUAGGGGUUUCGAUACCCUUGGUGCCGAAGUUAACACAUUAAGCAUUCCGCCUGGGGAGUACGGUCGCAAGACUGAAACUCAAAGGAAUUGACGGGGACCCGCACAAGCAGUGGAGUAUGUGGUUUAAUUCGAAGCAACGCGAAGAACCUUACCAGGUCUUGACAUCCCUCUGACCGUCCUAGAGAUAGGGCUUUCCUUCGGGACAGAGGAGACAGGUGGUGCAUGGUUGUCGUCAGCUCGUGUCGUGAGAUGUUGGGUUAAGUCCCGCAACGAGCGCAACCCUUGAUCUUAGUUGCCAGCACUUCGGGUGGGCACUCUAAGGUGACUGCCGGUGACAAACCGGAGGAAGGUGGGGAUGACGUCAAAUCAUCAUGCCCCUUAUGACCUGGGCUACACACGUACUACAAUGGCCGGUACAACGGGCUGUGAAGCCGCGAGGUGGAACGAAUCCUAAAAAGCCGGUCUCAGUUCGGAUUGCAGGCUGCAACUCGCCUGCAUGAAGUCGGAAUUGCUAGUAAUCGCGNGAUCAGCAUGCCGC
rnacentral:rRNA from 1 species